rnacentral:rRNA from 1 species
AGAGCUCAAAUUUGAAAUCUGGCGGUUGUUGAAGCCGUCCGAGUUGUAGUUUAGAGAAGUGUUAUCCGCGUUGGCCUGUGCAUAAGUUUCUUGGAAAAGAACAUCAUAGAGGGUGACAAUCCCGUCUUUGGCACAGAUUACCAGGGCUUUUGUGAUGCGCUCUCGACGAGUCGAGUUGUUUGGGAAUGCAGCUCUAAAUGGGUGGUAAAUUCCAUCUAAAGCUAAAUAUUGGCGAGAGACCGAUAGCGAA